AUAUACUUGCACCCCCUGGCUCAUGACUCCUUACCGUAAUCCCAGGCCAGGACCACAGAUGGCAUUUAACUCCGCGCUUACUGCCACUAGGCAGCUGGUGGAGCGCACAAUUGGUGUCCUUAAAGGGCGGUUUCGUGUGCUCCACCGCACUGGUGGCGACAUCAUGUAUUCGCCGGAGAUGGCAAGUAAAAUAGUGGUCCUGUGCGCAAUACUACAUAAUAUCGCGGUAAGGAGUAGUGUAGAGCUUCCUCAGGCAGAGGAAUUGCCUGAUGAGGAGCCAGGGGUUGUUCGACACUUCGGUGGUGGGAGUGUUACACGGAGGGGGAGCCAAGUGAGGGCAAGGAUUGUUGCCGAAUAUUUCAGCUGAAUGAUCACACAAACUGUGGACAACAACAACGGCAGACCUCUCCGCCCCCUUCCCCUUCCCAGUCCCCCUCCCCUUCUCACUCCCCCUCCCCUUCUCACUCCCCCUCCCCUUCCCAGUCCCCCUCAUCUUCCCAGUCCCCCUCAUCUUCCCAGUCCCCCUCAUCUUCCCAGUCCCCCUCAGCUUCCCUGGCCCACACCACUUUACACUCCCCUUCUCACCACACCUCUCGAUCUCUUUCUGGGACCCCUUCUCCUCCUUUCCAUACCCCUUCUCCUUCAACUUCUAAAUCACCAU